rnacentral:rRNA from 1 species
CCUACGGGAGACAGCAGUGAGGAAUAUUGGUCAAUGGACGAGAGUCUGAACCCGCCAAGUAGCGUGAAGGAUGACUGCCCUAUGGGUUGUAAACUUCUUUUAUAUGGGAAUAAAAUGUUCCACGUGUGGGAUUUUGUGUGUACCAUAUGAAUAAGGAUCGGCUAACUCCGUGCCCGCAGCCGCGGUAAUACGGAGGAUCCGAGCGUUAUCCGGAUUUAUUGGGUUUAAAGGGUGCGUAGGUGGAGUGUUAAGUCAGUUGUGAAAGUUUGCGGCUCAACCGUAAAAUUGUAGUUGAAACUGGCAGUCUUGAGUACAGGAGAGGUGGGCGGAAUUCGUGGUGUAGCGGUGAAAUGCUUAGAUAUCACGAAGAACUCCGAUUGCGAAGGCAGGUCACUGGACUGCAACUGACACGGAGGCUCGAAAGUGUGGGUAUCAAACAGGAUUAGAUACCCUGGUAGUC